CUGUGGCUGUAGGAUUAAGAACCCCACUGCCUUUUUGAUUGUCACCUGUAAGCAAUAUGAACUUAUCCAUAGCAGUUCAUAACAGCAUAAUUCAGGUUAGUAGGAAAGAAAGAGUAAGGUCUGCUAGCAACACAGAAUAAAUAACCAUUCAAGUAACAUCUUACCACCUUUGUCAUAUUCUUCCUAUCAGAGGAAAGUCAUAGUUGCAUCCACACUCAAGGGAAGAUGAUUUUACAAGAGCGUGAACACCUGAGGAGGGAACUCAUUGGGCUCCCUUAAAAAUUUCCGCCACAGAGGAGGCAUGGUUUAACAUUCACAGAGUCCUCAAUCUUGGAAAACAAGCAAUCAACAUGGUUUCAUCCAUCACAGCCCAUCUGAUCAUCCCAUCCAUUUCACAACGAUUCUCAGAGGUGCCUGGCGAACCAUGAUGCCUGCCAGCUCUUCAGAUAAAGAGGAUCCACUUAUUAAUCUGCUCUGUCUCCAUCUGCCUGCUCAAUUGGGAUUGACUGCUUGCUGUCCAGACUGAUACCAGGGAAAUCUGAUUGAGGACAAGAAUCUCUUUGUACAUUUCUCCCACUGAUAUGGCACAACAGGUCUGUUGCAGCCAGGGAGUUAAGCUGAUGUGACAUGAUGUCAGAUGGCCUGCCAUUGUACGUCAGAAAUUAAAAAGAAAAUAUUCUUUCAAACUGAAAUUCCUUAUGUGAUUUUUAUUUCCUUGGGCUUUGAGCAGAUUGAGUAUUGAAUUGCUUGACUGGAGCCCAUGGAUAAUUUAAUACCUGCAACAUUCGUCCCCGGGUGAAUUUCAGCCACAUUUGACUUGUUCAGCAUGGUGUCUCAGUUCUAACCAUUUCAUGGAAAUCUUGUAAAUAUUGAUUGAUGAAAUCCCAAAGAAAUACUUUUUAAACUGUGAUUCUGAAAUGCUCCGUAAAGAAAGACCUGGUUUUGUAUCCAUCUACCUCACUCCACAUCUUAUUGUGUAAGAAGUAAAUAAAAAUUGUGGACAUUCUCUUAUCCUUCUCUAA
rnacentral:lncRNA from 1 species